AACGAACGCUGGCGGCAGGCCUAACACAUGCAAGUCGAGCGAAGCCUUCGGGCAUAGCGGCGGACGGGUGAGUAACGCGUGGGAACGUGCCCUUUGCUACGGAAUAGCCCCGGGAAACUGGGAGUAAUACCGUAUGUGCCCUUCGGGGGAAAGAUUUAUCGGCAAAGGAUCGGCCCGCGUUGGAUUAGGUAGUUGGUGGGGUAAUGGCCUACCAAGCCGACGAUCCAUAGCUGGUUUGAGAGGAUGAUCAGCCACACUGGGACUGAGACACGGCCCAGACUCCUACGGGAGGCAGCAGUGGGGAAUCUUAGACAAUGGGGGAAACCCUGAUCUAGCCAUGCCGCGUGAUCGAUAAAGGCCUUAGGGUUGUAAAGAUCUUUCAGUGGGGAAGAUAAUGACUGUACCCACAGAAGAAGCCCCGGCUAACUCCGUGCCAGCCGCCGCGGUAA
rnacentral:rRNA from 1 species